CACUGCAGGACUCAGAUCUGUCGGACUGAAAACUGCAUCAAGAUGAAGUUUUCAAUGAUUGUCGUGUUGUGUUUUCUGAGUCAGGAGACUUCUGCAAACAAGUUUCUGACUCAGACUGACAAAUCCAAGUCUGUCAGUCUUGGAGGGACUGUGGCCAUCAGCGCCACAGGUAGUUCAGAUAUCGGUGGUGAUCUCAGUUGGUACCUUCAGAAACCUGGACAGGCUCCCAAACUUCUCAUAUACUCUUCAUCAACUCUCUUCUCUGGAACUCCGUCUCGAUUCAGUGGCAGUAGAUCUGGUUCUGACUACACUUUAACCAUCAGAGGUGUUGAGGCUAAAGAUGCUGGAGAUUACUACUGUCUGGGCUACCAUAGUGGAUUUGUGUUCACACAGUGAUUUAGAGCCGUACAAAAACCUCCUCCUUUUUGACUGAAGUGAGAACGGCCUGCUGCAGGUGCAGAGUGUUGGUGGAGAGACUGUGAUGAAGAUAACUGGUCCAGUGAACACAACACAAGAGUCAUCAAGCAGAACCACAAUGAAUCUAAAUAAAACUGAAACAAACUUAUU